AGUGAACGCUGGCGGUAGGCCUAACACAUGCAAGUCGAACGGCAGCACAGUAAGAGCUUGCUCUUACGGGUGGCGAGUGGCGGACGGGUGAGGAAUACAUCGGAAUCUACUUUUUCGUGGGGGAUAACGUAGGGAAACUUACGCUAAUACCGCAUACGACCUACGGGUGAAAGCAGGGGAUCUUCGGACCUUGCGCGAUUGAAUGAGCCGAUGUCGGAUUAGCUAGUUGGCGGGGUAAAGGCCCACCAAGGCGACGAUCCGUAGCUGGUCUGAGAGGAUGAUCAGCCACACUGGAACUGAGACACGGUCCAGACUCCUACGGGAGGCAGCAGUUGGGAAUAUUGGGCAAUGGGCGCAAGCCUGAUCCAGCCAUACCGCGUGGGUGAAGAAGGCCUUCGGGUUGUAAAGCCCUUUUGUUGGGAAAGAAAAGCAGCAGGUUAAUACCCCGCUGUUCUGACGGUACCCAAAGAAUAAGCACCGGCUAACUUCGUG
rnacentral:rRNA from 1 species